GAAAAUGUUGACCUGUCCAACAGACAGUUAAAAGCAGCAGUCCUGUCCUGUAGUCCAUCCUGUCAAACUGUGUGUCCACUGGAUGGGCUGGAUCAG